UCUACGGGAGGCAGCAGUGGGGAAUAUUGGACAAUGGGCGAAAGCCUGAUCCAGCCAUGCCGCGUGUGUGAAGAAGGUCUUCGGAUUGUAAAGCACUUUAAGUUGGGAGGAAGGGCAGUAAGUUAAUACCUUGCUGUUUUGACGUUACCAACAGAAUAAGCACCGGCUAACUUCGUGCCAGCAGCCGCGGUAAUA
rnacentral:rRNA from 2 species